GGCAAGGGAUCAAAGCCGCCUCUACCCUGAUGGUUCCAGAACAGCACUGGCUCUGCUAGGAUCUCUGCAAACAGAAAGGAGGCUCAUUGCCCAACUCAGAUUCAAUCCCAAGCAAAUGUUUCUGCUCAGCAGACCUAAAUCGUAUCCAAAAAACCUAACUGCAAGGGAGCCCUAGGAGAUGUGAUUUUUAACAUCCCAGCCUCUGCUCUAGCUGGUGAAGAAGGCAACCCACGGUGUUGGCGCACUUCCCUUGAGGAUUCCUAAGUACCAUCAAGGACCGGUCUGGAAAAUGGUGCAAUGCCAGCAACCUGAGCCAAAGGGCUGGAUUGACAAACGUUUACAUCCAUUUGGGCCAUACUCCUCAAGCUGAUAUCCCAGCUCACCAAAUCCAGAACUGUUUCUGCAGGAACCUAGAAAUACUGGACCUUCUCUCUCCUCCUGAUUCUACCCUUAGAACUUACAAACACGCCAGAGUUUAUUGUGCUAACUUGUAACUAUGUUAAAGCAACCUUGCGAAUCUUACUCACUAUCUGAUUCAGAUACCUAUGUUAUAAUUGAGUCUCUUCACUGGCAGUGAUGACUUAAAAAAAAACCCAGGCCCUUAGGAUUUCAGAAGCUAUGACUAAAAUAAGACAAUAUUGUGUUUUCAUAACUGCCCUACCUUUUUUAAAAAAAAUAAGGAGGGACACUUUCAUGCUCAAUUUCAUUCUUUUAUGAUGUAAUAGUAAUUGAUGCUCAGGAAAAAAACGAUCUACUCUAAAUGUUCUGCAUCAUUAAAGGCUAAAUUUUGUUUUAUUU